rnacentral:tRNA from 1 species
GCCUGGCUGGCUCCGUCAGUAGAGCAUGAAACUCUUGAUCUCAGGAUCGUGAGUUCGAGCCCCAUGUUAGGUA